ensembl:snRNA U4 U4 spliceosomal RNA
AGCUUUGCGCAGUGUCAGUAUCGCACCCAGUGAGGUUUAUUUGAGGCGUGAUCAUUGCUAAUUGAAAACUUUUCCCAAUACCCAACUAUGACGUCUUGAAAUAUAGUUGGCAUUGGCAAUUUCUGGCAGUCUCUAUGGAGA